rnacentral:tRNA from 1 species
CUUAGAUGGACUCUAAUACAGUCCCAUAAACA